GAUGAACGCUAGCUACAGGCUUAACACAUGCAAGUCGAGGGGAAACGAUAGAGAAAGCUUGCUUUUUCUAGGCGUCGACCGGCGCACGGGUGAGUAACGCGUAUCCAACCUGCCCACCACUUGGGGAUAACCUUGCGAAAGUAAGACUAAUACCCAAUGACGUCUCUAGAAGACAUCUGAAAGAGAUUAAAGAUUUAUCGGUGAUGGAUGGGGAUGCGUCUGAUUAGCUUGUUGGCGGGGUAACGGCCCACCAAGGCGACGAUCAGUAGGGGUUCUGAGAGGAAGGUCCCCCCACAUUGGAACUGAGACACGGUCCAAAACUCCUACGGGAGGCAGCAGUGAGGAAUAUUGGUCAAUGGACGAGAGUCUGAACCAGCCAAGUAGCGUGCAGGAUGACGGCCCUAUGGGUUGUAAACUGCUUUUAUAAGGGAUAAAGUGAGUCUCGUGAGACUUUUUGCAUGUACCUUAUGAAUAAGGACCGGCUAAAUUCCGUGCCAGCAGCCGACGG
rnacentral:rRNA from 1 species